rnacentral:rRNA from 1 species
GUGGGGAAUCUUGCGCAAUGGGCGAAAGCCUGACGCAGCCAUGCCGCGUGAAUGAUGAAGGUCUUAGGAUUGUAAAAUUCUUUCACCGGGGACGAUAAUGACGGUACCCGGAGAAGAAGCUCCGGCUAACUUCGUGCCAGCAGCCGCGGUAAUACGAAGGGGGCUAGCGUUGCUCGGAAUUACUGGGCGGAAAGGGCGCGUAGGCGGACAGCUUAGUCAGAGGUGAAAGCCCAGGGCUCAACCUUGGUAUUGCCUUUGAUACUGGCUGUCUUGAGUUUGGGAGAGGUGGGUGGAACUCCGAGUGUAGAGGUGAAAUUCGUAGAUAUUCGGAAGAACACCAGUGGCGAAGGCGACUCACUGGCCCAAUACUGACGCUGAGGCGCGAAAGCGUGGGGAGCAAACAGGAUUAGAUACCCGAGUAGUCC